GACGAACGCUGGCGGCAUGCCUAAUACAUGCAAGUCGAGCGAACAGAUGAAGUGCUUGCACUUCUGACGUUAGCGGCGAACGGGUGAGUAACACGUAAGGAAUCUACCUAUAAGCGGGGGAUAACAUUCGGAAACGGGUGCUAUACCGCAUAAUAUCUUCUUCCGCAUGGAAGAAGAUUGAAAGACGGCUCUGCUGUCACUUAUAGAUGACCUUGCGGUGCAUUAGUUAGUUGGUGGGGUAACGGCCUACCAAGACGAUGAUGCAUAGCCGACCUGAGAGGGUGAUCGGCCACAUUGGGACUGAGAAACGGCCCAAACUGCUACGGGAGGCAGCAGUAGGGAAUCUUCCGCAAUGGGCGAAAGCCUGACGGAGCAAUGCCGCGUGAGUGAAGAAGGCCUUCGGGUCGUAAAACUCUGUUAUAAGAGAAGAACAAAUUGUAGAGUAACUGCUACAGUCUUGACGGUAUCUUAUCAGAAAGCCACGGCUAACUACGUGCCAGCCGCCGCAGUAA
rnacentral:rRNA from 1 species